rnacentral:rRNA from 1 species
UAAUACGGAGGGUGCAAGCGUUAUCCGGAUUCACUGGGUUUAAAGGGUGCGUAGGUGGCUUUGUAAGUCAGUGGUGAAAGCCCGGAGCUCAACUCCGGAACUGCCAUUGAUACUGCUUAGCUUGAAUCACGUCGAGGUGGAUGGAAUAUUACAUGUAGCGGUGAAAUGCUUAGAUAUGUAAUAGAACACCGAUUGCGAAGGCAGUUCACUAGGCGUGUAUUGACACUGAGGCACGAAAGCGUGGGGAUCAAACAGG